rnacentral:rRNA from 1 species
UACGAAGGGGACAAGCGUUGUUCGGAAUCAUUGGGCGUAAAGGGCGCGUAGGCGGACUUGUAAGUCGAUUGUGAAAUCCCUGGGCUCAACCCGGGAAUUGCAGUCGAAACUGCAAGUCUUGAGUUCUCAAGAGGAUGGUGGAAUUCCUGGAGUAGUAGUGAAAUACGUAGAUAUCAGGAGGAACACCGGCGGCGAAGGCGGCCAUCUGGUGAGACACUGACGCUGAGGCGCGAAAGCAUGGGGAGCAAACAGG